rfam:Winogradskyella sp. PG-2 DNA, complete genome.
GGAGCAAUAGCAAAGCAGGUCUAUGCGUCUGGUUGAAGCCCAGAAGAUACUGGUUCGAGUCCAGUUUGUUCCG